UAUUAAUAAUAAUGAUGAUGAUGAUGAGGGUGGUGAUGAUGGAUCAUCAUCAUCAUCAUCAUCAUCAUCAUCAUCAUAAUAA
rnacentral:pre_miRNA from 1 species